GAUGAACGCUGGCGGCGUGCCUAAUACAUGCAAGUCGAGCGAACGGACGAGAAGCUUGCUCUCUGAUGGUAGCGGCGGGCGGGGGGGGAAAACGGGGAUAACCUACCUAUAAGGAUGGGAUAACUUCGGGAAACCGGAGCUAAUACCGGAUAAUAUUUUUGACCGCAUGGGUCAAAAGUGAAAGACGGUCUUGCUGGCACCUAUAGAAGGAACCGCGCUGCAUUAGCUAGUUGGGAAGGUAACGGCUUACCAAGGCAACGAUGCAUAGCCGACCUGAGAGGGUGAUCGGCCACACUGGAACUGAGACACGGUCCAGACUCCUACGGGAGGCAGCAGUAGGGAAUCUUCCGCAAUGGGCGAAAGCCUGACGGAGCAACGCCGCGUGAGUGAUGAAGGUCUUCGGAUCGUAAAACUCUGUUAUUAGGGAAGAACAUAUGUGUAAGUAACUGUGCACAUCUUGACGGUACCUAAUCAGAAAGCCACGGCUAACUACGUG
rnacentral:rRNA from 1 species